rnacentral:tRNA from 1 species
ACCUACUGUUUAAUUUUGAAAGUUCUUUAUGAACUUCAUAUUUGGGGGUGUAGCUCAGUUGGGAGAGCACUUGCCUUGCAAGCAAGGGGUCAGGAGUUCGACUCUCCUCAUCUCCACCAUUUAAGAGUAUAUUACUUAAAUCUUUGAUUUACUUAGUAGCCUCUUACAAUGCACUUAUAGCUUAAAUUUAUACAAGCUUUGUGUGUUAGCACUUUAAGCAACAGAAUAAACUGAACGCAUGUGAAGUUUGUUUGUUGGCGCUGUGCGUUAGCACUUUAAGCAACGGAAUUUAUUCGUUGGCGACGUGCUUUAGCACUUUGAAAACUGCAUAUAUAUUUAGUGAUAUGACAUCUAAUUUGUAAUAUAUAAAGCUGAUAACUUUUUAAAAUUAUCGAAGUUGAUAGCUUCUAAUCUAUCAAACCUUUUUAACUGGUCAA